CUUGCCCCCAGACCCUGAUGUGGAGAUAGGUUCACUGGGGUGCCUUCCCUGUUUUCCAACAGCCAGGCUGAUUCAAUUGCUUCAUGGUUUAUAGUUUAUGAAAAUUAGACUUCUAUAUUCUCAUUUUGAUAGCUACAGACUGUAUGCUUUACCAUACUUCCCAUGGGCCAGAAUAGAAAGAGGACUGAGACUAAAGCAGGCACUGCCUGGUACUGACUGUAACUGCGACAUCGUUGUCUCUCAAACCCUCUUACUCAUCUCUGAGAGUGUUUAGAGUCAGAUCCAGGGCCCCCAAGUGAAGCACAAAGUGUUGUAACUCGGGGUGUCAUUAAUGACUCCCAGAGGGUCAUUUUUUGUCCUGUCCUGUAGCAGCAACCCUGGGCCCACUGUACCGCACAGCUGACCUGGACAGCCUGCUCCUGACACUUGCCACUGGGCGUCCCGACCAGAAGGGUGGAACUGCUGAGCUGGCAAGGCAAGAUGGUACCAUUCCUUGUUCUCUGUGAUCUCCCCCCCUGCCUUCCUGGUACUCAGUGCAGGAGUGAGCCCUGGAUUGUGGAAGGACCUGUCUGUCCUAUAAGCCAGGAAGCCUAUGACUUCAGCCUUGCUGCUUGUGUCUGUCAACACUUCUGACUCCAUGAUACCCACCAUUUAUCCCUCAACCUCCAAGGCUGGCAGAUAUGUCUGAAUCAGGUAGCUAUGGGGCAAAAUAGCAGCUCCUUUUUCUCAGGAAGUCCCAGCGUGGAGAGAAGCACUCACCUGCAGAACACUCCCAGAUGGACAGGAGUACUAGAGAUUAACCAGUCCAAACUAUUAUACAGGGAAGCUGGGGGAGAGGGUAACAGGUCUCAGAGAGGGCUAGUUAUUUGCCAGGGAUCACACAGCUAGGCACUAGCUACUCUGCACUGGGGACUCCCAGGUGACAUUGAGGCUGCUGUGGGGCAGCAGGCCUUCACUGUUCCCUACCUACCUAUUAGGACACGAGUCUCUAGUCAGGGCAUCUCUAGGGUUGGACAGAUGGGAGAGGCUGGCUCUAAUAUCUGAAGCACAGUGGUUUCAAAAAGACCUAAGGACUGUUUGCCAUCAAAGCCAAUCCCAUGUAAGAUGUUUCAGCCAACUGUCUCUAGCUGCAGACCUGAAAAGGUUCUCUGACUAAGGUCCAGGCCUUCUGGGACUCUGCUGAAUCUAAAUGUCUAAAGACUCAUUCUACCAGGCUGUUGCUCAAGAAAUGCUGAGGCAGAGGGAUUAGGGAACAACCUUGAGAGAAGAAGGUGAUGCCACUGGGUCAGUUACUCUGUUUUCCCUAAGCCUUUUUGAAAGCUCCAGCCUUCUAAUUCUAGCCUGGAACUGGAUUCAUGUCGAGCAGAGUCCAGUGAGGUGCUGAGUCCUGCUUCCAGCAGGUUUUCUCUAGAUCUCUGUGGAGGAGGGAGGGGACUGAGGAGUGACAGCUGGCUCCCUGGGCUUCAUCUCCAUCUGACUUCCUCCACCCCACCCUGCAUAUCUUGACAGGCAGCACAAAACGAAUGGAAAGCCCAAAGCAGAGAUGCCACUGGUCAUGUGCCAAGGAGCCCUCUGCUUCUAGCCCUUCCUGAUAGCGUUUACAGAAUAUCACAGCAAAGAUGCCCUUACACAUCUCCUAGGGGUGUGUGGAAACCCACUCCUCACCUCUCUCCUCUGCAGCCUCCUGCAUCUGCUCAGAGGAACAUUUGCUAACUUCAAUGACGUCCUCAUGAUUUUCUGUGUCCUGAGAGCAAGGAGAGUCUACUCAAGUCCUUUGCAGUGACAAAGUCUCCGAGGCCUCAGCAGCAAGCAGCAGCAAGAGUCGACAGUGCUAAGAAAGGCAAGCUCGCCCUUCCCAAGAUACCUUCUUCUUGGCCAGCAACAGAUCCUG